rnacentral:rRNA from 1 species
GAUGAACGCUGGCGGCGUGCCUAAUACAUGCAAGUCGAGCGAACGGACGAGAAGCUUGCUUCUCUGAUGUUAGCGGCGGACGGGUGAGUAACACGUGGAUAACCUACCUAUAAGACUGGGAUAACUUCGGGAAACCGGAGCUAAUACCGGAUGAUAUUUUGAACCGCAUGGUUCAAAAGUGAAAGACGGUCUUGCUGUCACUUAUAGAUGGAUCCGCGCUGCAUUAGCUAGUUGGUAAGGUAAUGGCUUACCAAGGCAACGAUGCAUAGCCGACCUGAGAGGGUUAUCGGCCACACGGGAACUGAGACACGGUCCAGACUCCUACGGGAGGCAGCAGUAGGGAAUCUUCCGCAAUGGGCGAAAGCCUGACGGAGCAACGCCGCGUGAGUGAUGAAGGUCUUCGGAUCGUAAAACUCUUUUAUUAGGGAAGAACAUAUGUGUAAGUAACUGUGCACAUCUUGACGGUACCUAAUCAGAAAGCCACGGCUAACUACGUG